UCCAAGAAGUCACAAUGGAAAUGAAUUGGU
rnacentral:piRNA from 1 species